GGAAGUAAAAGUCGUAACAAGGUUUCCGUAGAUGAACCUGCGGAAGGAUCAUUAAAAAUAUAGCAAACCGAGCGUCAGCGAGGUUCUGCGAUCAAUUGUAUUUAAAACCCAACUCUGAAUCAAAAAUUAUUAUAUUAUGUGUCAUGAUAAUUAAAAGAUCACUUUCAACAACGGAUCUCUUGGCUCUCGCAUCGAUGAAGAACGUAGCGAAGUGCGAUAAGUAAUGUGAAUUGCAGUAUUCCGUGAAUCAUCGAACCUUUGAACGCAUAUUGCACUUUCUGGUAUUCCGGAAAGUAUGCCUGUUUGAGGGUCAGUUAAAUAAAAAUCGGUGUUGUUGCUGCCUUUCGUGGUGACGCGUCGGAAUUGAGUCGUCUUACCUUCGGUUAAGUGACUUAAAAUUUUGUAUGAUUUUUGAACGUAUUUAAAUUUAUUUGUACGUUUGAGAUAUCGAAUGUUUAUUAGGUUCGGUCAUUCUAAUGACUCGCGCCUAUAGUUUUUCAUUAAAUGACCUCAAAUCAGGUAAGAAUACCCGCUGAACUUAAGCAUAUCAAUAAGCGGAGGA
rnacentral:rRNA from 1 species